UUCAUCUCAUCACUUAACGUCGAGCAUCCUUUUUAAUAACUACAUCAUGUUUUUAAUUCUAUCUUCAUUCAUUCAUAUUCUGGAAAAGAAUCUCAACCGUUCCAAAUUCUCACACUCCAUCACAUCUCUUGGCAGUUUACAUCUCUCAAUUCUCCUUUCUCAUUUUAUUCAGCCCCAACUACACACGAUCCCGAUGAUGUUCUGGAGCAAUUCCGACGAUGUUCCCGUGCGAUUCUGACGAGCUUCCACGGUCAACAAUGACAACAAAUUUGCUAUUAAACCAUUUUCAUGGAGAAUUUUGCUAUUAUUACUACAUGAAGAAUUUGGUAUCUCAUUUUCGUUCUCCAUCUCCAACAACCGCCCUUCACAAACCCUAAUAUGAUGUCGAAAUUCACGAAAGAGGUCAAAUAGUGGGAGCACCACGUCAACUGCUGCAUGUUCCCCACCGGAGCACCACUCCCAGGCCAGGAGCACCUCAACUGCCCCAUCGUUGUUGAGUACGAAGGUCCUCGAGUUCCGUAUAUGAUGUUCCUAAGCUUGAUUCGCUCGAAAUUGGCACCACUGUAUCCGCCAUUCUAAUUUGCACGACUUCAAUAGUGGUUUGAAUGAUUGAAUCUGGUGUGCUUUUGUUUUUUGUUUCGUAGAGUAAGUAAUUAAUUGCUAUUUUCAUUUAUUUGGAGAGUACUCUGCUUCAUCUAGCAAUCAGAGGGGAUCUCUUAUUACAUUUGUGAAUGGUUGGAAUGGGGUGGAGAUCGUUAAUGCGAUGCACCUAGGUAUAACGCACUUUCUCUACUCAAAUUAAUGCAACUUAGCUCAUUUAAUGAUUAGGUCGUUUAUAGGUAGAUUCACUUAUGUUUUACCCUGCAUCUUUUGCUCAUUAUCUCAUUUUGCAUGCUUGUGUCUACAAUUAUUUGAAUAAAUAGUUUUGUCCUAGAAUUAAUUUGUAAUCUAUUUUUCUGUGUGCACGUUGAUGCAACCAACUAAAUAUAUAGACAUCUGUAGUUACGUGAUUUUGGUUUCUUUCGUUAUGAUCCUAGUGGUACUCAAUUUUUGAACCAUGAAGAGAUACCUCUUGCACUUGAAGCUGCCCGUGUUGGACUAGAAAUUAGAGUUGUCGGCAAUGAUUGUGGUGAAAAGGUGCUUUUUCAACUAAUUCAGCAACAUGAAGUUUUCCUUUGGGUAGAUGUUUCACAUCCCCUUUCGCAACCUUCUCCACUUCCUCAGCCACUUCUACAAUAUCUACCAUACGUUCUGCUUCGUCUAUUGUUGUCUAAUUUUUUUUCUAUACAAAGAUAAAAAAUUCUGCUAUAAUAUUGAAAAAUAGUUUCUUUAAACGUUAUAAUUAACGAUGUUCUUAUUAUUUUAA